rnacentral:rRNA from 1 species
CCGCCCGUCGCUACAACCGAUUGGGUGUUGAAGUGAGCCAUGCCGAUAAUAUGUAGUUCAGCCUUUCUGGCUAAGCUAUGUAGAAGAAGCAUUGCAAGCUUUGAUACUUAGAGGAUGUAAAAGUCGUAACAAG